rnacentral:rRNA from 1 species
CGACCGGCGCACGGGUGAGUAACGCGUAUCCAACCUGCCCUUUACUAUGGGACAGCCCGUCGAAAGGCGGAUUAAUACCGUAUGCUGUCAUGUUGAUGCAUAUUUUCAUGACCAAAGGCUUCGGCCGGUAAAGGAUGGGGAUGCGUCUGAUUAGCUUGCCGGCGGGGUAACGGCCCACCGGGGCGACGAUCAGUAGGGGUUCUGAGAGGAAGGUCCCCCACAUUGGAACUGAGACACGGUCCAAACUCCUACGGAAGGCAGCAG